GCGAUACGGAGACAAUCAGAUCUCACGAUAUGCUUGACCAGAUACAUCCAUGUCCAUAUUGCGGCGAUAUUGUCGGGUUGACUAUUGGCGCUUUCACAAAAUACAUUUUUACAAUGAGAUUUUAGAUAAGUAAUCAUCAAUAAUGUGGACAGAAUGACAUGAAG